rnacentral:rRNA from 1 species
GACGAACGCUGGCGGGGUGCUUAACACAUGCAAGUCGAACGGAAAGACCCUGCUUUUGUGGGGUGCUCGAGUGGCGAACGGGUGAGUAACACGUGAGUAACCUGCCCUUGACUUUGGGAUAACUUCAGGAAACUGGGGCUAAUACCGGAUAGGAGCUCCUGCUGCAUGGUGGGGGUUGGAAAGUUUCGGCGGUUGGGGAUGGACUCGCGGCUUAUCAGCUUGUUGGUGGGGUAGUGGCUUACCAAGGCUUUGACGGGUAGCCGGCCUGAGAGGGUGACCGGCCACAUUGGGACUGAGAUACGGCCCAGACUCCUACGGGAGGCAGCAGUGGGGAAUAUUGCACAAUGGGCGGAAGCCUGAUGCAGCAACGCCGCGUGCGGGAUGACGGCCUUCGGGUUGUAAACCGCUUUCGCCUGUGACGAAGCGUGAGUGACGGUAAUGGGUAAAGAAGCACCGGCUAACUACGU